GACCAGACUCCUACGGGAGGCAGCAGUGAGGAAUAUUGGUCAAUGGGCGCAAGCCUGAACCAGCCAUGCCGCGUGCAGGAUGACGGUCCUAUGGAUUGUAAACUGCUUUUGUACAGGAAGAAACAGUUCUACGUGUAGAACCUUGACGGUACUGUAAGAAUAAGGAUCGGCUAACUCCG
rnacentral:rRNA from 1 species